CUGGAGGUAUCAGAAGUGCGAAUGCUGACAUAAGUAACGAUAAAGCGGGUGAAAAGCCCGCUCGCCGGAAGACCAAGGGUUCCUGUCCAACGUUAAUCGGGGCAGGGUGAGUCGACCCCUAAGGCGAGGCCGAAAGGCGUAGUCGAUGGGAAACGGGUUAAUAUUCCCGUACUUGGUGUUACUGCGAAGGGGGGACGGAGAAGGCUAUGUUGGCCGGGCGACGGUUGUCCCGGUUUAAGCGUGUAGGUGUGUGUUCCAGGUAAAUCCGGUUCACUUUAACACUGAGGCGUGACGACGAGGCACUACGGUGCUGAAGCAACAAAUGCCCUGCUUCCAGGAAAAGCCUCUAAGCAUCAGGUAACAUCAAAUCGUACCCCAAACCGACACAGGUGGUCAGGUAGAGAAUACCAAGGCGCUUGAGAGAACUCGGGUGAAGGAACUAGGCAAAAUGGUGCCGUAACUUCGGGAGAAGGCACGCUGACACGUAGGUGAAGUGAUUUACUCAUGGAGCUGAAGUCAGUCGAAGAUACCAGCUGGCUGCAACUGUUUAUUAAAAACACAGCACUGUGCAAACACGAAAGUGGACGUAUACGGUGUGACGCCUGCCCGGUGCCGGAAGGUUAAUUGAUGGGGUCAGCGCAAGCGAAGCUCCUGAUCGAAGCCCCGGUAAACGGCGGCCGUAACUAUAACGGUCCUAAGGUAGCGAAAUUCCUUGUCGGGUAAGUUCCGACCUGCACGAAUGGCGUAAUGAUGGCCAGGCUGUCUCCACCCGAGACUCAGUGAAAUUGAACUCGCUGUGAAGAUGCAGUGUACCCGCGGCAAGACGGAAAGACCCCGUGAACCUUUACUAUAGCUUGACACUGAACAUUGAGCCUUGAUGUGUAGGAUAGGUGGGAGGCUUUGAAGUGUGGACGCCAGUCUGCAUGGAGCCGACCUUGAAAUACCACCCUUUAAUGUUUGAUGUUCUAACGUGGACCCGUGAUCCGGGUUGCGGACAGUGUCUGGUGGGUAGUUUGACUGGGGCGGUCUCCUCCUAAAGAGUAACGGAGGAGCACGAAGGUUGGCUAAUCCUGGUCGGACAUCAGGAGGUUAGUGCAAUGGCAUAAGCCAGCUUGACUGCGAGCGUGACGGCGCGAGCAGGUGCGAAAGCAGGUCAUAGUGAUCCGGUGGUUCUGAAUGGAAGGGCCAUCGCUCAACGGAUAAAAGGUACUCCGGGGAUAACAGGCUGAUACCGCCCAAGAGUUCAUAUCGACGGCGGUGUUUGGCACCUCGAUGUCGGCUCAUCACAUCCUGGGGCUGAAGUAGGUCCCAAGGGUAUGGCUGUUCGCCAUUUAAAGUGGUACGCGAGCUGGGUUUAGAACGUCGUGAGACAGUUCGGUCCCUAUCUGCCGUGGGCGCUGGAGAACUGAGGGGGGCUGCUCCUAGUACGAGAGGACCGGAGUGGACGCAUCACUGGUGUUCGGGUUGUCAUGCCAAUGGCACUGCCCGGUAGCUAAAUGCGGAAGAGAUAAGUGCUGAAAGCAUCUAAGCACGAAACUUGCCCCGAG
rnacentral:rRNA from 1 species